rnacentral:rRNA from 1 species
AUGCGUAGGAAUCUGCCCUGCAGCGGGGGAUAGCCCGGGGAAACCCGGAUUAAUACCGCAUACGCUCUACGGAGGAAAGUGGGCCUCUUCAUGAAGGCUCACACUGCAGGAUGAGCCUACGUCCGAUUAGCUUGUUGGUGGGGUAAAAGCCUACCAAGGCGACGAUCGGUAGCUGGUCUGAGAGGAUGAUCAGCCACACCGGGACUGAGACACGGCCCGGACUCCUACGGGAGGCAGCAGUGGGGAAUAUUGGACAAUGGGCGAAAGCCUGAUCCAGCAAUGCCGCGUGUGUGAAGAAGGCCUGCGGGUUGUAAAGCACUUUUAUCAGGGAAGAAACGGCCUGGCCUAAUACGUCAUGGCAAUUGACGGUACCUGAAGAAUAAGCACCGGCUAACUCCGUGCCAGCAGCCGCGGUAAUACGGAGGGUGCAAGCGUUAAUCGGAAUUACUGGGCGUAAAGCGUGCGCAGGCGGCUGCCUAAGUCGGAUGUGAAAGCCCCGGGCUUAACCUGGGAAUUGCAUUCGAUACUGGGUAGCUAGAGUUUGGUAGAGGUAAGUGGAAUUCCGGGUGUAGCGGUGAAAUGCGUAGAUAUCCGGAGGAACAUCAGUGGCGAAGGCGGCUUACUGGACCAAAACUGACGCUCAGGCACGAAAGCGUGGGUAGCAAACAGGAUUAGAUACCCUGGUAGUCCACGCCCUAAACGAUGUCAACUAGCCGUUGGGUCCCUUUAAUAGGACUUAGUGGCGAAGCUAACGCGUUAAGUUGACUGCCUGGGGAGUACGGC